UUGUUAUGUUAUGCCUGCUAUGGACUUCAGGUUCUCUGGAUCCACCAAGCAUCUCACAGUCUUGUUUCUUGCCACAGUAUGGAUGAAUAUCACUUUGUGCUAACCUAUGUUCUUGACGUUGUACUAUGCCUAUGAACUCCUGUGCUUGCUUAAGCCAAAGAAUACCCUGCUACUCAUCAGAUCUGCAGAGAUUCUCGCUGAUAACUAUCUGCCUAUGGACUCCUGUGCUGUGUCAUCCUAGCACCCACUGACUCUAUAACGGUCCCAGCCGAUCUCAGCAUUUACCAAUUUCAGCCCGGUCUCAGUGUUACCCAGUUCCAAUCCAGUUCCAGCAUACUGUCUCCAGCCGAGUUUCAGUAUUUUCCAGUUCCAGGCCUACUCCAGGUUUAAACUUGAAAGGAUUUGCCCUUAUAUCUUAACCCUCGAUGUGAUGGCCUCUUAGACGUCUGGAGUGUAAACUUUUAACCACAAGUUCUUGAGAUAUUGGACAUAAUCGUCGGGUCCCUCACUAUCAGAGGAGGUGACAGGACUGGUGGUUAUAUCAUAAUACAUCAGGGCCUUAUCAAUGCCUUUGGAGGUAAGUUUCUUUCCACAGGGAAUUACACAAUAAACUAUAAUGCCUACAAGAAUUAAAGUUACAAGUAUGAAUAUGCUUAUUUGCACAAU